UGGGCCUUCAGCUGAUAUGCCUGAAAGAUGUUCCUGUUCUACUCAAAAGGAAAGCAUAGAUGAAGGAACACUGCUGUACAAGACACACGUCCAGAUGCAUCAUGAUGAAGAAAACACUUGUAACCUGACUCCUACUGAGGUUCAGAGAAAAAAAGGUGACUUGGUCCAAGGGGGUCCACGAACCACUGGGAAUUCCGGGUCUUCAGUUCUCAACAGAUCCCAGCUAAAGACAAAGAGAGCCCAAGAACCCCUGGAGGGAUGAAGUUGUCAACGAAAUGCUGAACACAAGUAUAAAGCAAGAGUCAGUCUUAAAAACAAAGAAGACAUGUGGCAUGUGUGACAGUAUGGAUGAUCUCUGAAGACACACAAAGUGAACAAGCCUUGACAGAAAUAGAUGCUGCACACUGCCACUGGCUCUGAGGACAUCAAAUAAUGCAAGUAAAUGACCUGACAAGCGAACUGCUAUAAUCUGUAAUCACAGUGGGAAGACACAGUAAACAAACAGAAGACAUUCUCACAGAGCAGCAUUCUGCCUAUGCCACAAUGGUAACCGUUUCCAGUUCCACCUCUCUCUCCAGCCUGCUUCUUAGAGUCAUCAAUAGCCCAUCAAGACAAAGUGGAAACAAUACCUAUAUCUACAUCUUCAGAGCCAAGAGGGUCUGAGCAGAGAGCACUGUGGUGAACAGAGCAGGCGGGAGAUGAGGGAGAAAUGUCAUCAAUCAGGUUGUUUCAGAUCACCCUUUCAAGAACUGCACUUCAACAGUGAAGCAGAAGUGGAAAAUUGGCACCAGUCAAUAAAACAGCAAUUUCUCUCUC